UACGUAGGUGGCAAGCGUUGUCCGGAUUUACUGGGCGUAAAGGGCGUGCAGGCGGUCUGUUAAGUUCAGGGUGAAAGCUCCCGGCUCAACUGGGAGAGGUCCUUGGAUACUGGCAGACUUGAGGGAGGUAGAGGAGAGUGGAAUUCCCGGUGUAGUGGUGAUAUGCGUAGAUAUCGGGAGGAACACCAGUGGCGAAGGCGGCUCACUGGCCCGUAACUGACGCUCAUGCACGACAGCGUGGGGAUCAAACAGG
rnacentral:rRNA from 1 species